UACAGAGGGUGCGAGCGUUAAUCGGAGUUACUGGGCGUAAAGGGCGCGUAGGCGGAUAGAUAGGUGAGAUGUGAAAGCCCUGGGCUUAACCUAGGAAGUGCGUUUCAAACGAUUUAUCUGGAGUACAGGAGAGGGUAGCGGAAUUUCCGGUGUAGCGGUGAAAUGCGUAGAGAUCGGAAAGAACGUCAAUGGCGAAGGCAGCUACCUGGCCUGAUACUGACGCUGAGGCGCGAAAGCGUGGGGAGCAAACAGG
rnacentral:rRNA from 1 species